rnacentral:ncRNA from 1 species
GAACAACCAGUGAGGGAGAAAAGUAGCUGGAACUACACGUGGAAAGAGAUGAAAUGCCUUGGCUGAAAGCAUUUCUCCAUGAUGAUCCAAUGAACGAACACUCCUUAGGUUUCUUUCUGAAAAGCAGGAGCUUAGUAGGAUAAGGACGCAGCCGGCGUUAAAGGUUAUGAGCGGAAGCCUGAAUCAUGAGGCUUCAACUAGGGUGGAACCACGGGUAUUAACUCUCGUCCCUGCG